rnacentral:lncRNA from 1 species
AGAGCUCCUCCUCUGGAAGGUUUGGCCCUGAGCGAAAGGCACUUGGAAUCGACCUGGGAGGCUCCGAGGUCCCAUGUGAAACUGAGAAGGGAAACAGAAGUCAGGUGACACAAGAUGCAGCGGGCUCUGACACCGAAAGGCCACCGGACCUGAUGAAUACCUUUGUUUGCUGGGAAGAUGCCAUGGGGUCUCCGUUCCCAUCGUUGGUUUAAAAACAUUAACAACAGCUUAGCAGGAUCUUGUAAACAGCUGCUGUCCUUUGAUGCAGCAACCCAGGAAGAAAGAGCCCAGCACUUUUGCCAGCACGGUGGAAGUUUGAAGUUUUUAAAAGAGGAAUUUGCUCCUGAAAUUCAGGGAUAACAGUGCAUGUGGUCUUGACUGUAAAGACAAGAAUAAGACAAGUGAAAAAUCUCAAAUACUGCUUGAAGUUCUUGAACUGGAUGGCCAUAUCUUCCACUGAAAAUAUGAGAUUCUACAUGUUGUAUAAGUAUUUUGAAACAUCGUACUAACUCUUGGAGUAUGUGGGACAAUGUCUUCUUCUUUUAAGUGUUUUUUUGUAUUUUUUUUAACAACUUAAUAAAUGUGAUUACUAUCUCA